ACCCGUUGAUCCUGCGGGAGGUUGCUGCUAGGGGGAUUCGAUUAAGCCAUGCAAGUCUGAUAGCAAUAUCGGCGAAAUGCUCAGUAACACGUCGCUAACGUGCCCUUCGGUCAAGGAUAACCACGGGAAACUGUGGAUAACACUUGAUAGGGGAACCGACCUGGAAAGGUGGUUCCUUCUAAACUCGUGCCGGAGGAUCGGGCGGCGGCAGAUUAGGUUGUUGGCGGUGUAAUGGACCACCAAGCCGAUGAUCUGUACGGGCCUUGAGAGAGGUAGCCCGGAGAGGGACACUGAGAUACUGGUCCCAGCCCUACGGGGUGCAGCAGGUACGAAACCUUUACAAUGCACGCAAGUGUGAUAAGGGGAUCCCCCGUGCUCAUGCAUUGCAUGGGCUUUUACUAAGUGUAAAAAGCUUUGUGAAUAAGUGGUGGGUAAGACUGGUGCCAGCCGCCGCGGUAACACCAGCGCCACGAGUGGUAACCACGUUUAUUGGGCCUAAAGCGUCCGUAGCCGGUUUAGUAAGUCUUCUGUGAAAUUGUAUGGCUCAACUGUACAACGUGCAAGAGAUACUGCUAGGCUUGAGACCGGGAGGAGUCAGAAGUAUUCCAGAGGGAGCGGUAAAAUGUUAUAAUCUCUGGAGGACUACCUGUGGCGAAGGCGUCUGACCAGAACGGAUCUGACGGUGAGGGACGAAAGCCAGGGGAGCGAACCGGAUUAGAUACCCGAGUAGUCCUGGCCGUAAACGCUGUGAGCUAGGUGUUGCGUUAGCCACGAGCUAGCGCAGUGUCGAAAGGAAGCUGUUAAGCUCACCGCCUGGGAAGUACGGUCGCAAGACUGAAACUUUAAGGAAUUGGCGGGGGAGCACCACAAGGGGUGCGGCGUGCGGUUUAAUCUAACUCAACGCAGAGAACCUUACUAGAAGGGUGCAUGGCCGCCGUCAGCUCGUGCUGUGAAGUGUCCUCUUAAGUGAGGCAACGAGCGAGUCCUGUAUCUUCAAUUGCUAGCGGCUGCUUGCAGGACCGAGCACUUUGAAGAGACUGCCCUGGAAACAGGGAGGAAGGUGCAGGCUACGGUAGGUCUGUAUGCCCCGAAUCUUCUAGGCUACACGCGCGCAACAAUGGUUGGGACAAUGGGAUGCCACUCCGAAAGGAGAAGCUAAACCUCUAAACCCAAUCCAAGUCCAGAUUGAGGCUUGCAACUCAGCCUCAUGACGACGGAAUCCCUAGUAAUCAGAAGUCAUCAUCUUCUGGUGAAUAUGUCCCUGCUCCUUGCACACACCGCCCGUCAAAUCAACCGAGCAGGUUCUGGGUAAAAUCUAGUUUUUUAAUUAGAGUGAAUCUAGGAUCAGUGAGGUGGGUUAAGUCGUCACAAGGUA
rnacentral:rRNA from 1 species